rnacentral:pre_miRNA from 1 species
AUACUACUUCCGUCUAACAAAAGAUGUCUCAAGUUUGUUAAAAUUUGGAUGCACCUAUGCAUGACUUGGUGUAUAAAUGCAUUCAAAUUUAGUCAAAGUUGAGACAUCUUUUGUUGGAAGUAUAUA